rnacentral:tRNA from 1 species
UAGGGGGCGGCUGUUGAAGUGGUAAGUUGUAGCCUUAUUUAUGGGAUUUUUCUCUCUCCU